UCUGUGAACUGGUCAGAUCCACUUUUAAAGCCACCCAAGUGGGUGCCUGUCACUGCCUCUUGUGGAAGGGAGUUCCACAGUUCAACUACGUGCAUGCAGAGAAUUCUGUGCUGGUGUGGAAUCGCAGGAUGCCCCCUCAGCUUGGCGCUGUCGUUCUCUGGGCUGCCCCUCUUCCCCCGCCCGCCCUUGGUGCAAAAAACUCCCCCUCUGGAUUGUGCUGGCACAGAGGCAAGGAAGGCAGGAGGGGCAUCACCCUUCCCCACAACUCCCGUUCCUGAGCCUUUCUUGGCUUCCAGGCCGUGAUUUUAUAGAUGUGCAUUAAUGGAGCCACCGAUUUCCACUGAAGGAUUAGACUGGUAAUUUGGCUAAUUUUUCUUAAGCUUCAUUUUUCACAUUAUGAGCAUCACGGAGAGAAGACAAAUGAUCUUCCUCGUUGCCUCUUAACGACCGGAGGAGGAGGAGGGUGCCUGGCUGAGAGGCACCAACAAAGGUUCAAGAUCUUUUGGAAGGCAAAGAGCGUGUCUGGCUUUGGGGCUGGAUCCUGCGGAGCCCUUUGGAGCAGAGUGUGAUGGGGGUGGGAAGAGCAGCCCCCUGUUCUUCUCCCUCUCACCGGAACUCUUGGACAUCCCAUGAAUCAGAAGGUUGGGAGAUCCAGGACAGAGAAAAGAAGGGCUUUCUGUUGGCGUAAUAGAGUAUUGGACUAGGACCUGGGAGACCAGGGUUCACAUCCCCACUGGGCCAUGAAGCGCAUUGGGUGACAUCCUAUGCCCUUUUAAAAUGUGUUGGGGUGGUGUUAUUGCGUGGUUGUUUUUAUUUUGAUUGUGUACUUUAUGGUUUUAUAUUCCGACUUCAUCCUGUGAACCACCCUAAGAUCUGUGGGUAUAGGUCGGUACAUAAGUUAUAAUAAUAUUUAUUAUUAUUAUUAUUAUUAUUAUUAUUAUUAUUAUUAUUAUUAAUUUGGGGCCUGUGAUGGCCUCUCAACCUUGCAGAGUUGUUUUGAGCAUAACACGGGGAGUUGGAGAACCAUGUGCAGCACCUUGAGCUUCUUUGAGGGAAAAGGUGAUAUAGAAAUGUAAGAAUUCCAGCUUCUGGAAGCGGCUGGAGGGGAGGGGCUCUUGCUGUCUGGCCCUGCACCCGGUGGGCUGGAUGGGCCAUUGGCAGGGUCUUUUCAUGCUCCUUUGGCCAACGCCAGCCAAAGCCAGAGAGCAAGAAUAGUGCAUGGCCAUAAACCAGGGCAAGGGAUAGAUUUCUGGCAUGGGGACUCCAGUUGGGGGUAGAGUGGAAGGUGACAUUUCUCGCUGGGGUCCGUGGGAGCCAUGCUUCAGGAGAACGUGAGCCCACCGCCAGAACGUUCUCCAGUGUUCCCCACCGCCAUGCUUCACAUCCUGAUUCCUUGGUUCAGCAGGGCCAAGGCAGCACGCUUGCAGGAAAGGACAGGUAUUAGAGAAAGACACCAAAGGCUUCAAUGGCUGCCACCACUUCUUUUUUUAAAAAAGAGACCACCACAGAUUGGUUUGGAGGCAGGGAACAUUAAAUGAUCUGAAGGGGAAAUCAAGCCCUUUAAACUGCUUGAGAAUGUAUCCUUAUUUCUAACACUGGCAGCAUUAAGAUAAAUUCAGCGGUGUAAAUAACUUUUCAUGGAUGUAAUAAUGGAAUAUUGAGUGAUUUGCAGGGAUUUAUGUUAUGCAAAACGAACCAAAGAAAGAGAAGGGAAUACUUUAAAUUGUAAAACAGAAAAUUUAAUUUUGUGUGUGUGUAAAUAUAAUAUUAUAUUAUAUAUAAUAUUAUAUAAUAGAAUAUAAAAAAUAAUGCAGAAGGUCCCAAGUUCAUCUUUGUUUGAUGGCUGACAAGAAGACCGUGAAAUAUCUCAUUGCACACCAAACUGGGAGAGGAGCUGAUUCUGGUGUCCUUUGCCACCUGCACCAGCCAUGCUGUUUUCCUGCCUAACCUUGAUAGGAAGUUAAGAAUAAAUUAAAAACCCUUCUCCGGCUUUCCUAUGGAAAUGGUAGGUGCAAGGAGAGAUGGGGGAUUUGAGAUAAGAAGGCAGCAGUGUCGACUGAGGGCGCUUGCUUCCCCCACCCACCCUCUGCUGCCCAAGGCACAGAUGGGGGGAUAUAUAUAUAUAUAUAUAUAUAAUCAAUGUCUGCAGUAGCUUCUUUCUGCUCUGAUGAAUAGAUUCUAAAGAGGCAGUGACAUUAUUUGAGAUAAGAGAGGAGAGAAAAAGGGUCAGUGAUAGAAAAUGUCAGAGCGCAGAGAUGAAAUGCAGCGGCCAGAUUGGGGGGGCACUGGGGGGGUGUUGGGCCAUGCGCUCCCUAUCCCACACACACAUCCCCCUUGGAGGGGGAGGGAGGGAGAGAGAGAAAGGGUUUGAAAACUUUGAAAUUCUAAUAUAGUUGAGGGGGAAUCAAGUCACCGUACUGAGUCCCCCCACUCCAAAUGAAUCCCCUCUGCCUCCAAUUGUUCCUCAGGUUUAAGGCUUGUUUCUGUGUUGUUUGCUUCACUCCCCAAAUUGUUUACAAAUAAUAACAUGGAAAUGAGUGCUAAACUUGUGUUACUAUAUUUCUGAAAGUGACUUUAAUGUUGUGUGAAACCUCAAAUCCAAUUUGGAAAUUAAAAGGAAAACAGAAUAAAUGGCUCUGUGGAUGCAGCCUCUGUCUUCCAACAAAAUAA